rnacentral:sRNA from 1 species
CGAGCGUAGCGAGAAAGCGUUGCCGCAGGCAACGACCCGAAGGGCGAAGCGCGAAGCGCUGAGUAAUCCUUCCCCCACCACCA